UUAUUAUUAUUAUUAUUAUUGGUUUUCCCAAGGAUAUCCAUGUCUUUUCCCGGCUGGAAGCAGAGCAGAUUGUCCUCAGUGGCUGAAAGUUUGUGGUGCUAAUUUAUGAAUUUAUGAAUUUAUGAAUUUAUGUAGAUGUUGGGUGUCCUGAAGCCGUGGGGGUGCUGCCCGCCCAGCAAUCCUGGGAAUUUGCAAUUUUCCUGCUCUUCCCACUUUUUUUUUUUUUAUUCCUUCCACGGCUCACAACGUGCUUGACACCCUCUUCUUUUCCCAUUUAUUUCUCCUCCUUGCCCGUUUUCCUUCUUCAGGUCUCUCAGCUGGAAAAUAACUGUUGCAAGGUGGGGUUUUUAUAAAUUAUUAUUAUUAUUAUUCCUCGGCCUGGAGCGUUCAGCUCAAGGGGGAUUUUUCACCACCAAGGAAAAGACAUCACAUUUACUGUGAAAAAAGCCUAUAUAUGAUGUCUUUUCCCCCUUCCUGCCCAAAUUGAGAGCAGCAGCAUCCGAGGAAGGGAGGCAGAGCCGUGCUGGAGGGAGCGGCGAUGCCGGCGGUGCUUUUUUGGGGCCUGGAGGAGCCGUGUCCAUCCCUCUCCCUUCUUCAUCCUGUGCUCUCUCCCACUUAAGGGAAUUUAAAAAAAAAAAACCCCAAAAGGUGCUACCCUAAAAACUGCAGACUCCGGGCAGCAGAGCAGUGAAAAGGAAUUUAGGAUAAUAAAUAAGGAAUUCAGCUUCUCAGUCACCUUGGCAACAGCGGGAAGGGCAGGAAAGGUUGCACAUCCCAGCAAAGCCAUAUCCUGAUUUUUUCUGAUAUUUGUCCACACCUGUGUGUCUGCCCAGGUCAUGGGAUUCUGUUCUCAAUUUUCUCAUCAAGGGAGCUUUUUUUUUUUUUUUUCCUUUGAUUUCUCUGCUUGAAGAAGAAGAAAAAAAAAGAAAAAAGAAUAAUAAAUUUCCUCUGUUGAAUUCCACAGUGUUGUAAUUGUACUGAGCUCCCAACUGUUCCAAUCCCCCCAGACCACUUAGCUACGGUAUAUUGCAAUAAAAUUACUACUUGUAUUUGCAGACCUUUCUUUUUGUGUAAUUUUAUUUCCCUCCUCCCCUUAAUAUAUAUUGACUUGAACAAAUGUUGAUAAGAAAAAUAAAACCUAUGGAAAAAAAUACCCCAACUUUUAGUACACAAGGCCCUUUUUAAAAUAUAGUGUCAAAUGCCAUAUUGUACAUUUCUUCAAAGUCCAAUAAACAUGUCAUAAAAUUUCAGUGUAAUGCCCAUAAGAGCUAUUUUUAAAUAUUUUAAACCUGUGUAAUAAAGGAAUAAAUGUAAUAGAUUUUUUUUUCAAUAAAUCAAGUUUACUGUUUCCACCUAAACCCCCGUGAUGUUGAAUCUCUUCUUGGAGUUGAUUGCAGCAGGAUUUCCCCAGGACCCCCCUGCCCUGUGGAGCCUGCAGAGUUCAUCAGAGCAGCAGUGGAAGUGCUUAAAGUGAGGAAUUCCAGUGCAAAAAUCCAGUGUGGUUUUGGUGGCUGGGAUGUGGAGGAGAAGAUUGUGUGGCAACCAGCUCUUCACCUUCUCCACACCACCAGAAACUUUACCAGAGGAGAUAUGCUGUUGCUGAUCUUCUCAUCCCAAGACAAAUUCAGGAAAAAAACAAAUUUUCAGCUUCUUGGUUUCACCCCAGGAUCCUCUGGAAUUCACUGUGGGAGACUGCACCAAAGGCUGCCACUGGAUCUGAGUCACUCUGGGUCUCAGGGUGACCUUCAAACCACCCCUGGCUGGUGCUGCAGUUCCAGGAGGUGCUGGACCUUCAGGAGGUGAUGUUUGGAGCACUGCAGCCCUGCUCUGGAGGAAGAGGCCCAGCCCCUCAUGCUGCUCUGUGACUGGUGACUCCCUGCUUUUUAUCUUGGAUUCCCUUGGCUUGCUUCAGUUGCACUCAAUCAUCUUAAGGUCUUUUACAGCCUGAAGAAUUUUGUGGUCCAACAGGUGGAGCACUGGCUAUCCCUAAAAAAGCCCAUCCUCCAUGAUUGGUAGGAGUGGAGCAGAGAGCAGAGCCCAGAGGCUCUCACCAAACACAGCUCCCCCAGCCCUGCGGUGACCUGGGGCUGCACCAGCAGGGACCAGCACAUCCCACUUCCUCCUGGGAGCUGGGAAAGGGGACCAGGAUCACAGCCCUGCCAUGUCCCACUCCCUGUGCCCCUCGGGGUCACGUUGGGACCACAGCUUCUGCUCUCCACAAGAUGUCACAGCUCUGGUUGGGAUGCUCCUGCUGCUGCCGCCUCUCCAAGAGAUGUUCCUCCCCCAU